UUGGCUGCGACCUGGCUGGAGCGGCCGGCGAGACGGAAGGUUAGGGCAAGAACCCAGAGAUUCUUCCUUGGGAGACACUGCAGCUGCCUUACGGGUAAAAGGAGGGGAAAGCCACCCUUCUAACCACAGAGGCACACGACGUGCAUUCCGCCGACGUUCGCUGAGCGGGCGUCCUACCAGACCUAGAACGAUUCUGAGCUGUUUUGUGCAGUUGUACAGUGGCAGCAGUGGAGGGUGAUGUCUGUACCUACCCUGUGGAAUUGCUACGAACAGAUACAAAUAAAGGUUUCAAGAGCUGGCACACAGCAUCGUAAGGACACAGUGUCAGCUUAUUAAAUCCAGGGCUUAAGGGUUGAUAAAAUUAAAAAAAGAAAUGGUCACUGGGUUUUUAGGGACCUAUGUAAACACAA